AAGUGACCACAAGAUGACCAGCCUAUUUUUCGAGAGAAUUCCAUCCCGUCUUUAUUUCUGUAAAACUGACCAAAAUACAUCGAAAAAUAUCAUGUUGGCGGGAAAAAUUGUCGUCUAAGGACGGGACAGUCUCUCCAGAGGACUCUGAACCUGGUUGCCAUGACAAUGAUCCCCAUCGUUGCUAAGUAACCGCAUCACAUGACAAACAAACCUCUGGGCUUCUUACUGCUGACCUUGAAUGAAAGCUUCUUCUCCCAAGGUUUUCCCAGUGGAGUGGCAACCUACGAGUAUGGAUCACUCCUGAGUUACAACACCAAAUGAAGACCAGUAUUUGGCAGGGAGCACAGCAUUCGAAAUGUCUCAUCAGUUACCUGCAGCCACAGGUACUAGUGUUUCUAGGCAAACUGUGUACAGACAUUUAGGAAAUAUUGGUCUUUAUGUUGGCAGGCCAAUCAUAUGAACGUAAGACA